CCUACGGGUGGCUGCAGUGGGGAAUUUUGGACAAUGGGCGCAAGCCUGAUCCAGCCAUUCCGCGUGAGUGAAGAAGGCCUUCGGGUUGUAAAGCUCUUUCGCAAGGGAAGUAAACUUAUCCUCUAACAUAGGAUGAGGUUGACGGUACCUUGAUAAGAAGCACCGGCUAACUACGUGCCAGCAGCCGCGGUAAUACGUAGGGUGCUACUGUUAGUCGAGAGUACGCGGCGUAAAUUGUAAGUCGGAUGUUAAAUCCCCGAGCUCAACUUGGGAACUGCGUUUGAAACUACAAGACUAGAAUAGGUCAGAGGGGGGUAGAAUUCCACGUGUAGCAGUGAAAUGCGUAGAGAUGUGGAGGAAUAUCAAUGGCGAAGGCAGCCCCCUGGGAUCAUAUUGACGCUCAUGCACGAAAGCGUGGGGAGCAAACAGGAUUAGAUACCCGGGUAGUC
rnacentral:rRNA from 1 species